rnacentral:rRNA from 1 species
GAUGAACGCUGGCGGCGUGCCUAAUACAUGCAAGUCGAGCGAACAGACGAGGAGCUUGCUCCUCUGACGUUAGCGGCGGACGGGUGAGUAACACGUGGAUAACCUACCUAUAAGACUGGGAUAACUUCGGGAAACCGGAGCUAAUACCGGAUAAUAUAUUGAACCGCAUGGUUCAAUAGUGAAAGACGGUUUUGCUGUCACUUAUAGAUGGAUCCGCGCCGCAUUUGCUAGUUGGUAAGGUAACGGCUUACCAAGGCGACGAUGCGUAGCCGACCUGAGAGGGUGAGCGGCCACACUGGAACUGAGACACGGUCCAGACUCCUACGGGAGGCAGCAGUAGGGAAUCUUCCGCAAUGGGCGAAAUCCUGACGGAGCAACGCCGCGUGAGUGAUGAAGGUCUUCGGAUCGUAAAACUCUGUUAUUAGGGAAGAACAAAUGUGUAAGUAACUAUGCACGUCUUGACGGUACCUAAUCAGAAAGCCACGGCUAACUACGUG